GCUGGCGGCGUGCCUAAUACAUGCAAGUCGAACGAGUCCUGAUUAUUGAAAGGUGCUUGCAUCUUGAUUUAAUUUUGAACGAGUGGCGGACGGGUGAGUAACACGUGGGUAACCUGCCCUUAAGUGGGGGAUAACAUUUGGAAACAGAUGCUAAUACCGCAUAAAUCCAAAAACCGCAUGGUUCUUGGCUGAAAGAUGGCGUAAGCUAUCGCUUUUGGAUGGACCCGCGGCGUAUUAGCUAGUUGGUGAGGUAACGGCUCACCAAGGCAAUGAUACGUAGCCGAACUGAGAGGUUGAUCGGCCACAUUGGGACUGAGACACGGCCCAAACUCCUACGGGAGGCAGCAGUAGGGAAUCUUCCACAAUGGACGCAAGUCUGAUGGAGCAACGCCGCGUGAGUGAAGAAGGCUUUCGGGUCGUAAAACUCUGUUGUUGGAGAAGAAUGGUCGGCAGAGUAACUGUUGUCGGCGUGACGGUAUCCAACCAGAAAGCCACGGCUAACUACGUGCCAGCAGCCGCGGUAAUACGUAGGUGGCAAGCGUUAUCCGGAUUUAUUGGGCGUAAAGCGAGCGCAGGCGGUUUUUUAAGUCUGAUGUGAAAGCCCUCGGCUUAACCGAGGAAGUGCAUCGGAAACUGGGAAACUUGAGUGCAGAAGAGGACAGUGGAACUCCAUGUGUAGCGGUGAAAUGCGUAGAUAUAUGGAAGAACACCAGUGGCGAAGGCGGCUGUCUGGUCUGUAACUGACGCUGAGGCUCGAAAGCAUGGGUAGCGAACAGGAUUAGAUACCCUGGUAGUCCAUGCCGUAAACGAUGAAUGCUAGGUGUUGGAGGGUUUCCGCCCUUCAGUGCCGCAGCUAACGCAUUAAGCAUUCCGCCUGGGGAGUACGACCGCAAGGUUGAAACUCAAAGGAAUUGACGGGGGCCCGCACAAGCGGUGGAGCAUGUGGUUUAAUUCGAAGCAACGCGAAGAACCUUACCAGGUCUUGACAUCUUUUGAUUACCUGAGAGAUCAGGUUUCCCCUUCGGGGGCAAAAUGACAGGUGGUGCAUGGUUGUCGUCAGCUCGUGUCGUGAGAUGUUGGGUUAAGUCCCGCAACGAGCGCAACCCUUAUGACUAGUUGCCAGCAUUUAGUUGGGCACUCUAGUAAGACUGCCGGUGACAAACCGGAGGAAGGUGGGGAUGACGUCAAAUCAUCAUGCCCCUUAUGACCUGGGCUACACACGUGCUACAAUGGAUGGUACAACGAGUUGCGAGACCGCGAGGUCAAGCUAAUCUCUUAAAGCCAUUCUCAGUUCGGACUGUAGGCUGCAACUCGCCUACACGAAGUCGGAAUCGCUAGUAAUCGCGGAUCAGCACGCCGCGGUGAAUACGUUCCCGGGCCUUGUACACACCGCCCGUCACACCAUGAGAGUUUGUAACACCCGAAGCCGGUGGCGUAACCCUUUUAGGGAGCGAGCCGUCUAAGGUGGGACAAAUGAUUAGGGUG
rnacentral:rRNA from 1 species